rnacentral:piRNA from 1 species
UGAUGUGUCUUGGAGUUGCUCUUCUC